CAACCAUGUGCUUAACUUUCUUCUGUUGGCAGUGGACCAUAUCAUCCAGAUGCUUUAUUCUCUCCCUUAGGCUAGCUGCUACCUCCUCCAAAUGCUGUGACCUCUCACUGUCAGAGUUGCUUUCAGAUUUUGCUCCAGAUAGCUGUAUUUCAUUUAGUUCCAGUUGUUUUUGCAGCUGGUGACGUUCCUCUUCCAUGCGUUCAAUCAACCGAUCCA
rnacentral:lncRNA from 1 species